AACGAACGCUGGCGGCGCGCCUAACACAUGCAAGUCGAACGAGAAGGCGUAGCAAUACGCUUGUACAGUGGCGAACGGGUGAGUAAUACGUGGGUGACCUACCCUCGAGUGGGGAAUAACCCGCCGAAAGGCGGGCUAAUGCCGCGUACGCUUCCGCCCUCACGGGGGCGGAAGGAAAGCUGUACCGUGGGUACGGCGCUCAAGGAUGGGCUCACGUCCUAUCAGCUUGUUGGUAGGGUAACGGCCUACCAAGGCUCCGACGGGUAGCUGGUCUGAGAGGACGAUCAGCCACACUGGCACUGCGACACGGGCCAGACUCCUACGGGAGGCAGCAGUGAGGAAUAUUGCGCAAUGGGCGAAAGCCUGACGCAGCGACGCCGCGUGGGGGAUGAAGGUCUUCGGAUUGUAAACCCCUUUCGGGAGGGAAGAUGGGACGGGCAACCGUUCGGACGGUACCUCCAGAAGCAGCCACGGCUAACUUCGUGCCAGCAGCCGCGGUAAUACGAAGGUGGCAAGCGUUGUUCGGAUUUACUGGGCGUACAGGGAGCGUAGGUGGCUUGGUAAGCCCU
rnacentral:rRNA from 1 species